rnacentral:rRNA from 1 species
UGGGGAAUAUUGGACAAUGGGCGCAAGCCUGAUCCAGCCAUGCCGCGUGAGUGAUGAAGGCCCUAGGGUUGUAAAGCUCUUUCACGGGUAAAGAUAAUGACGGUAACCGGAGAAGAAGCCCCGGCUAACUCCGUGCUAGCAGCCGCGGAAAUACGAAGGGGGAUAGCGUUUUUCGGAUUUACUGGGCGUAAAGCGCACGUAGGCGGACUUUUAAGUCAGGGGUGAAAUCCCGGGGCUCAACCCCGGAACUGCCUUUGAUACUGGAAGUCUUGAGUAUGGUAGAGGUGAGUGGAAUUCCGAGUGUAGAGGUGAAACUCGUAGAUAUUCGGAGGAACACCAGUGGCGAAGGCGGCUCACUGGACCAUUACUGACGCUGAGGUGCGAAAGCGUGGGGAGCAAACAGG